rnacentral:rRNA from 1 species
CGAUGGGCCGACGUCGCAUGCUCCCGGCCGCCAUGGUUAGAGUUUGAUCCUGGCUCAGAUUGAACGCUGGCGGCAUGCCUUACACAUGCAAGUCGAACGGCAGCACGGGAGCAAUCCUGGUGGCGAGUGGCGAACGGGUGAGUAAUAUAUCGGAACGUGCCCAGUAGUGGGGGAUAGCCCGGCGAAGCCGGAUUAAUACCGCAUACGACCUGUGGGUGAAAGCGGGGGAUCGCAAGACCUCGCGCUAUUGGAGCGGCCGAUAUCAGAUUAGCUUGUUGGCGGGGUAAAAGCCCACCAAGGCGACGAUCUGUAGCUGGUCUGAGAGGACGACCAGCCACACUGGGACUGAGACACGGCCCAGACUCCUACGGGAGGCAGCAGUGGGGAAUUUUGGACAAUGGGCGCAAGCCUGAUCCAGCCAUGCCGCGUGUGGGAAGAAGGCCUUCGGGUUGUAAACCACUUUUGUCAGGGAAGAAACGGUUUGUCCUAAUACGGCGGACUAAUGACGGUACCUGAAGAAUAAGCACCGGCUAACUACGUGCCAGCAGCCGCGGUAAUACGUAGGGUGCAAGCGUUAAUCGGAAUUACUGGGCGUAAAGCGUGCGCAGGCGGCUUUGCAAGACAGAUGUGAAAUCCCCGGGCUCAACCUGGGAACUGCAUUUGUGACUGCAUGGCUAGAGUACGGUAGAGGGGGAUGGAAUUCCGCGUGUAGCAGUGAAAUGCGUAGAUAUGCGGAGGAACACCGAUUGCGAAAGCAAUCCCCUGGACCUGUACUGGACCUCAUGCACGAAG